rnacentral:rRNA from 1 species
UGAUCGCAUGGUCUUGCACCGGCGACGUGUCUUUCAAGUAUCUGCCUUAUCAACUUUCGAUGGUAGUUUAUGUGACUACCAUGGUUGUAACGGGUAACGGAGAAUAAGGGUUCGACUCCGGAGAGGGAGCCUGAGAAACGGCUACCACAUCCAAGGAAGGCAGCAGGCGCGCAAAUUACCCACUCUCGGUACGAGGAGGUAGUGACGAAAAAUAACGAGACCGUUCUCUAUGAGGCCGGUUAUCGGAAUGGGUACAAUUUAAAGCCUUUAACGAGGAUCUAUGAGAGGGCAAGUCUGGUGCCAGCAGCCGCGGUAAUUCCAGCUCUCAAAGUGUAUAUAGUCAUUGCUGCGGUUAAAAAGCUCGUAGUUGGAUCUGCGCCUCAGGACUUGGUCCGCCCACUGGGUGUGAACUGAGCUCCUAGGCUGAAACUGCUGGUUUUCCCUUCGUGGCCUUCACCGGUUGCGUUGGGUGGCUAGCGAGUUUACUUUGAAAAAAUUAGAGUGCUCAAAACAGGCUCUGCCUGAAUAUUCGUGCAUGGAAUAAUGGAAUAGGACUUCGGUUCUAUUUUGUUGGUUUUCUGAACGGAGGUAAUGGUUAAGAGGGACAGACGGGGGCAUUCGUAUCGCUGCGUGAGAGGUGAAAUUCUUGGAC